rnacentral:lncRNA from 1 species
CUAGUGCAAAGUAAGGAUCAACAACUUCUAGAUGCCAUGGAGAUUUCAGUUUUCUUUAAUGCUUUUUAAAACACUGAUGACCUAUUCAUCUGCAUGAAACCUUCAAAUAAAUUGGUCGAAUUUGAAGUCAUCUGCAUGAAACCUUCAAAUAAAUUGGUCGAAUUUGAAGUCUUUCUUCUUGUUUGCAGAUAUUCUUCUCGGAACCUGUCCUCUCCCAUCAAGGCAAAUCUGCAUUUCUCUCUUAGUAGAAGUGGGAUACUUUCUCUGGAUCGAGC